CUAAGACCAAUAUAUGUCCCUACCCAUUGGAUUGAUUGUUUGUACAUGAUUUUAUGUUUUGGAACACUCAUGAGAGCUUGGGGCCUGCAUUGAACAAGAAAAUAGGAGAGAAGAACAGAAAUUGGAAACAAGCAAAAAUUGGAAUGAGCCUAAGGAAAUUCGUGUUUGAGAUAUGCCUGCAGUAAAACAGUAAGUACUCUCUCCCUGUAACUCCGAAUUGAGUGAUUUUUGUUUCUAUGAAAAGCUGACGCAAUUCCCUUCGACUGAGUACCAAUUUGGUAAUUUUUGGAUUAAUAAUGAAGUCUCAGUCCACGUUUGAAUCUAGGGUACUGAUGCUGUCAAAUUCUGGUUUUUGGAUUGUGAGUUUUACGCGCUCGGAUGCUCGAGAGUGUACGGAUCAGUUCAGUGAUGCGGAUCGAACCCAGGC
rnacentral:lncRNA from 1 species